rnacentral:rRNA from 1 species
GACGGGGGAUGCAAGUGUUAUCCGGAAUCACUGGGCGUAAAGCGUCUGCAGGUGGUUUUAUAAGUCUACUGUUAAACCUUGAGGCUCAACCUCAAAUCUGCAGUGGAAACUAGGAGACUUGAGUAUAGUAGGGGUAGAGGGAAUUUCCAGUGGAGCGGUGAAAUGCGUAGAUAUUGGAAAGAACACCGAUGGCGAAGACACUCUACUGGGCUAUUACUGACACUCAGAGACGAAAGCUAGGGGAGCAAAUGGGAUUAGAUACCCCAGUAGUCCUAGCCGUAAACGAUGGAUACUCGAUGUUGGACGUAUCGACCCGUUCAGUAUCUUAGCUAACGCGUUAAGUAUCCCGCCUGGGAAGUACGCUCGCAAGAGUGAA